UUUUAUUCACCUUUGCAUUUUUACUGCUCGGCGUCAGCAGAACUCUAAUUACUCCUCUGAUGGAUCGGAAUCCCAUGUCACUAAAUCUCACGUCCCUCCUGCUCUUCAGGUGAUUAAUAGUCCUUGAAUAGGCCGUUGGAUGUAAAGGAGCUGUCCUGGAUAUUGUAGAAAACGUCAGUCAGCACUGCAAAUCCUCCUUGUUAUUGGUCAUCCUAUAAAAGCAUGCAAACCACGACUGUUGUCCACACAGAAGAAAUGACCACUUGGCUCAUGAAGAGCAAUGAAUUAUGGGAUAUUAGUCACAUUAAUCUGGCAUCCAGAACUUACUCUAGCCUAAUAAGGUGCCACGGAAAGAGGUGCUUAAGUUUUGUUAUUUUUUUCUGAGAUGUACUCUAGCUCUACGUAUACAACAUUACACUUCCUGUUUUAUUUUGAAAUUAUCAACUGCUGUUUACCUUCCUCCGUCCUCAUUAACUCACGCUACGAUCAUGGACAUAGACAUAGACUGCUCACCGAUUAAAUACGUAUUUCUAUAUUGGUUUUCCGUCCAGAAACAAAAGGAAAACUCAUUUCCAAAUUUCAACUUCCGGCUGUGGUUGUUAAGGUGCCUGUUAUGAUGUUAUGAAUGUAAUGCUCGACUCUUGAGGGUGGCAGAAUUGCACAUAGAAUUCACAGUCGGUUUACGAACCCACAUCACGUGCAGCAGCUGAUUGACAUGGCUCAUGAUGCAGAGGAACUCCUGGCUGCUCAAUAUUCCAAAUACCAAUCCCAGUAUUGGCUGGAUCUGAUGGAUUUCAGUCUUUGGUGGCAGCAAAGGCCAAUAGCAGCGGUGGAGCAGCUCACGUGAAGUCAGAAUCAGGAUCACACACCUGCUUCUGAGUUCCCUCAUCAGGAGACUGGUGGAUUUAAACGCCACUUCGCCAAGAAACCCGUGCCAGAGCGCUGCCCCCGUGGUUUUAAGUGGAUCACGCCCUGUCCUUCACGCCUCGUCUUCCUGCUAACCUGAGACCCUGUUUGUUCCCGCCCCGGCCAUGGAAUCCAGUAAGUGGACGUGUUGAAGUUUUUGUUCCCCCUCGUGCUGCGUUUGGGUCCUACCU